rnacentral:rRNA from 1 species
GACGAACCGUGCGAACGUUAUUCGGAAUCACUGGGCUUAAAGCGCGUGUAGGCGGAUGGGAACGUCGGUAGUUGAAAGCCCCCGGCUCAACCGGGGAAGUGGUGCCGAAACGACCCGCCUGGAGGGACGUAGGGGGACCUGGAACUUCCGGUGGAGCGGUGAAAUGCGUUGAGAUCGGAAGGAACGCCCGUGGCGAAAGCGAGGUCCUGGACGUCUACUGACGCUGAGACGCGAAAGCUAGGGGAGCAAACGGG